rnacentral:rRNA from 1 species
UACGUAGGGCGCAAGCGUUAUCCGGAAUUAUUGGGCGUAAAGAGCUCGUAGGCGGUUUGUCGCGUCUGCCGUGAAAGUCCGGGGCUCAACUUCGGAUCUGCGGUGGGUACGGGCAGACUAGAGUGAUGUAGGGGAGACUGGAAUUCCUGGUGUAGCGGUGAAAUGCGCAGAUAUCAGGAGGAACACCGAUGGCGAAGGCAGGUCUCUGGGCAAUAACUGACGCUGAGGAGCGAAAGCAUGGGGAGCGAACAGG